rnacentral:lncRNA from 1 species
GGGGGAUGAGACCAUAUCGAGGAUGCACUUUGUCGUUAUUAAGGUUAAAAACACCAAGAUAGCUGGGUGCGGUGGCUCAGGCCUGUAAUCCCAGCACUUUGGGAGGCCGAGGUUGAAGGAAGAGAAAGACCCUCUCAUAUUAUUUUAUAUUGUUUUAUACUCAGUACCUGUUUUAAGCAAAAACAGCAAGGAAGUAAAACCAAAGACAGGCAGCUCGGUGCCAGGCCUGAAACCAGGCCUGGGCCUGCCUGGCCUACACCCAGUAGUUAAAAAUCAACUCAUGACUUAGAAACCGGUGUUAUUCAUAGAUUCCAGACAUUGUAUAGAAGAACACUGUGAAACUCCCUGCCCUGUUCUGUUUCUCUCUGACCACCGGUGCAUACAGCCCCUGUCACGUACCCCCUGCUUGCUCAAAUCAAUCACGACCCUUUCAUGUGAAAUCUUUAAUGUUGUGAACCCUUAAAAGGGACAGAAAUUGUGCACUCGGGGAGCUCGGAUUUUAAGGCAGUAGCUUGCCGAUGCUCCCAGCUGAAUAAAGCCCUUCCUUCUACAACUCGGGGUCUGAGAGGUUUUGUCUGCGGCUCAUCCUGCUACAAGCCUGCACUAGGCAACGCUGAAGCCACAGAAGACACCGCAGUGGGAAAACCAGCAUAAGCCGCUGCCCCCAAGGAACCUCAAAGCCCAGGCAGAGGACCAGCCAUCCCAGUCGCACAGGCACCAUGCGAGGUGCCGAGGAUGCAAAAUUGAAUAGAGUCUUCCAUUACGAGAUUUCGAAACUAAAGAACACAGCAGGCAGACAGACCAAUGAAAAGUCAGCAAUGGCUGAAUGGUGAUGUGUGUAAAGCACACAUGUGAUGUGUGAUUGCUUGCAGACCAUGGAGAUUUGCAUGCAAUACCCAGAAAGCCCAUAGAAAUAAAAGGACCUGUGAAAUGGAGUCACGCGUUUUCUUUAUUUUUUACAUGUUAUUUAUUUCUUCGGUAUUUCCAAUACUCUCUCCUUCAUGAUUUUGCUUAUUGCACUCUCUCCUUUUCAUUCCUUCCUCCCUCCCUCCCCUCCUUGCUCCCUCCACGCCUUCCUCUCUCUCUCUCUCCCCCACCCCUUGUCUGUCUUUGUACAUACACAUAGGGAAGCAUGCAUAAAACAUAUAAUGGAUUGAGUUUAAAGAAUAAUUUAUAAAAUUAAUAUCCAUUACCCAGGUUGAAAAACAAAACAAAAAACGCCAACCCAAUAAUGAGAUGUCCAGUCAUUCUAUCUUUUGUAUUGUUUUAUUGUCUAUGUAAAUAUCCCUCAACAAUACAUUGUUUAGUUUUGCCUGUUUUUGAACUUCACAUAAAUGGUAUCAUAGGGCAUAUAGUUUUGUCUGACUUGGUUCUCUCAC